GUGAUGUGGGAUUGAACCCUGGU
rnacentral:piRNA from 1 species